AUGGUUAUAUUUCUCCAUACAUGUUGUCAUUUAAAUGUUGUUUUUCUUCUCUUCUCAAAGAUCUUCAGUUUAGAUCUUGGAGGCAUAUCAACUGUGGUUCUAAAUGGCUAUGAUGUAGUAAAGGAAUGCCUUGUUCAUCAAAGUGAAAUUUUUGCAGACAGACCAUGCCUUCCUUUAUUCAUGAAGAUGACAAAAAUGGGAGGCUUACUCAAUUCCAGAUAUGGCCGAGGAUGGGUCGAUCACAGACGAUUAGCUGUAAACAGUUUUCGAUAUUUUGGAUAUGGCCAAAAGUCUUUUGAAUCUAAAAUCUUGGAAGAAACCAAAUUUUUCAAUGAUGCUAUUGAAACGUACAAAGGUAGACCUUUUGACUUUAAACAGUUAAUAACGAAUGCUGUUUCAAACAUAACCAAUCUGAUCAUUUUUGGAGAACGAUUCACUUAUGAAGACACCGAUUUUCAGCACAUGAUUGAGUUAUUUAGUGAAAAUGUGGAACUAGCUGCCAGUGCCUCAGUCUUCUUGUAUAAUGCCUUUCCAUGGAUUGGCAUCCUGCCUUUUGGAAAACAUCAACAGCUGUUUAGAAAUGCAGCCGUAGUCUAUGAUUUUCUCUCCAGACUCAUUGAAAAAGCUUCAGUCA
rnacentral:sRNA from 1 species